AUUGAACGCUGGCGGCAGGCCUAACACAUGCAAGUCGAGCGGAGCGGCGGACGGGUGAGGUAUGCCUAGGAAUCUGCCUGGUAGUGGGGGAUAACGUCCGGAAACGGGCGCUAAUACCGCAUACUAUAAGAUGAGCAUAGGUCGGAUUAGCUAGUUGGUGGGGUAAAGUCCUACCAAGGCGACGAUCCGAAACUGGUCUGAGAGGAUGAUCAGUCACACUGGAACUGAGACACGGUCCAGACUCCUACGGGAGGCAGCAUUGGGGAAUUGUGGACAAUGGGCGAAAGCCUGAUCCAGCCAUGCCGCGUGUGUGAAGAAGGUCUUCGGUUUGUAAAGCACUUUAAGUUGGGAGGCGUUUCCCACAGAAUAAGCACCGGCUAACUUCGUGCCAGCCGCCGCGGUAAUAC
rnacentral:rRNA from 1 species